UAGGAUCUCAUUUACAUGUGGAAUUUAAAGAAUUUAACCUCAUAGAAAUAGAGAGUAGAAUGAUGGUUACCAGAGUAUGGAGAUGGUCGGAGGAAGGGGGAAUAGGGAAAGAUUAGUCAGUGGGUGCACAGUCACAGCUAGACAGGAGGAAUAAGUCCUGGUGUUCUAUCCACAUUAAGGUGACUAUGGUUAACAAUUUUGUAUUGCAUGUUUCAAAAUAGCUAGAAGAGGGGACUGUUAAAUAUUCUCACCACAAAGAAAUUAUAAAUGUUUGAGGUGAUGGAUAUGCUAAUUACCCUGAUUUGAUUUUUACACAAUGUACACGUGUAUCAAAACACCACACUGUAUCCCAUAAAUAUGUACAACUAUUAUGUAUCAAUUGAAAACAAAAUUAAAAAAACAAAAUAAAAAAACCCACAGAUGUGUAGCCACUAAUCAUUAAUAGGAGUCAGUCAUCACCACUGGCCUCUGUGAGUACAGCCCAAACAGAAUGUUCUUCUUCUACCUCCUGGCCCCUGAGCCAGAGAGAAACAGUACAUGCCAGAGAGUUCUUUGAAAAAUGAGGCAGCAUCCCUUAGCCUGGUUGGAGGCAUG
ensembl:lncRNA novel transcript